rnacentral:rRNA from 1 species
UGGGGAAUAUUGGACAAUGGGGGCAACCCUGAUCCAGCAAUGCCGCGUGUGUGAAGAAGGUUUUCGGAUUGUAAAGCACUUUCGACGGGGACGAUGAUGACGGUACCCGUAGAAGAAGCCCCGGCUAACUUCGUGCCAGCAGCCGCGGUAAUACGAAGGGGGCUAGCGUUGCUCGGAAUGACUGGGCGUAAAGGGCGUGUAGGCGGUUUGUACAGUCAGAUGUGAAAUCCCCGGGCUUAACC